UAGCUGGUCUGAGAGGAUGAUCAGCCACACUGGAACUGAGACACGGUCCAGACUCCUACGGGAGGCAGCAGUAAGGAAUAUUGCUCAAUGGCCGAAAGGCUGAAGCAGCAACGCCGCGUGGAGGAUGAAAUACUUUUGUAUGUAAACUCCUGUGAGAAGGGAAAAAUAUGCAGAUUUUCUGCGUUGAUUGUACCUUCAGAGGAAGCCCCGGCUAACUACGUGCCAGCAGCCGCGGUAAUACGUAGGGGGCGAGAGUUGUCCGGAUUUACUGGGUGUAAAGGGUGCUCAGGUGGAUUUGUAAGUCAGAGGUGAAAUCCCAAAGCUCAACUUUGGAGCUGCCUUUGAUACUGCAAGUCUUGAGUUUGGAAGAGGGUAAUGGAAUAUCUGGUGUAGCAGUGAAAUGCGUAGAUAUCAGAUAGAACACCAAUGGCGAAGGCAGUUACCUGGUCCAAAACUGACACUAAAGCACGAAAGUGUGGGGAGCAAACAGGAUUAGAUACCCUGGUAGUCCACACCCUAAACGAUGAAUACUAGAUGUUGGUCCUUUUAAGGGUCAGUAUCCAAGCUAACGCAUUAAGUAUUCCACCUGGGAAGUACAAUCGCAAGGUUGAAACUCAAAGGAAUUGACGGGGGCCCGCACAAGCAGUGGAGCAUGUGGUUUAAUUCGACGCAACGCGAAGAACCUUACCUAGGCUUGAAGCGCAAGCUAAACCUGAUGAAAGUCGGGGUGCCGCAAGGCGAGCUUGUACAGGUGCUGCAUGGCUGUCGUCAGCUCGUGCCGUGAGGUGUUGGGUUAAGUCCCGCAACGAGCGCAACCCUCGUUUUUAGUUGCCACCAGGUAAUGCUGAGCACUCUAAAAAGACUGCCUACGCAAGUAGUGAGGAAGGUGGGGAUGACGUCAAGUCCGCAUGGCCCUUACGCCUAGGGCCACACACGUGCUACAAUGGCCAUUACAAAGGGCUGCAAUACCGCGAGGUGGAGCCAAUCCCUAAAAAAUGGUCUCAGUUCGGAUUGGAGUCUGCAACUCGACUCCAUGAAGCUGGAAUUGCUAGUAAUCGCGCAUCAGCACGGCGCGGUGAAUACGUUCCCGGGCCUUGUACACACCGCCCGUCAAGCCAUGGAAGCUGGGGGUACCCAAAGUCGCCUUCAAUAAGCGCCUAAGGUAAAACCAGUGACUGGGGCU
rnacentral:rRNA from 1 species